CGGACGAGAAGCUUGCUUCUCUGAUGUUAGCGGCGGACGGGUGAGUAACACGUGGAUAACCUACCUAUAAGACUGGGAUAACUUCGGGAAACCGGAGCUAAUACCGGAUAAUAUUUUGAACCGCAUGGUUCAAAAGUGAAAGACGGUCUUGCUGUCACUUAUAGAUGGAUCCGCGCUGCAUUAGCUAGUUGGUAAGGUAACGGCUUACCAAGGCAACGAUGCAUAGCCGACCUGAGAGGGUGAUCGGCCACACUGGAACUGAGACACGGUCCAGACUCCUACGGGAGGCGGCAGUAGGGAAUCUUCCGCAAUGGGCGAAAGCCUGACGGAGCAACGCCGCGUGAGUGAUGAAGGUCUUCGGAUCGUAAAACUCUGUUAUUAGGGAAGAACACAUGUGUAAGUAACUGUGCACAUCUUGACGGUACCUAAUCAGAAAGCCACGGCUAACUACGUGCCAGCAGCCGCGGUAAUACGUAGGUGGCAAGCGUUAUCCGGAAUUAUUGGGCGUAAAGCGCGCGUAGGCGGUUUUUUAAGUCUGAUGUGAAAGCCCACGGCUCAACCGUGGAGGGUCAUUGGAAACUGGAAAACUUGAGUGCAGAAGAGGAAAGUGGAAUUCCAUGUGUAGCGGUGAAAUGCGCAGAGAUAUGGAGGAACACCAGUGGCGAAGGCGACUUUCUGGUCUGUAACUGACGCUGAUGUGCGAAAGCGUGGGGAUCAAACAGGAUUA
rnacentral:rRNA from 1 species